UGGGAAGCUGCUUCGUUCCCAGUUUCUAGUCCUCCUAUGUUGAGUCUGCGCCGCGGACCGGAGCCUCUGCAGACAUUGCAGCUCUGGCAAGUUGGUGACGCCGCGUCCAGACUGCGGUGAAGGCACGUGGGCGGUGUGCAGUGUUUUGCAGUGUUUUUGCACUUUUUCAUUUCCUUGUUCUCUGCUUAGUUUUACUCUAUGGUCACCCUGAAGGGUUGUCUCUUUUUUUUUUCUUUAAUCUUUUUUAAAGUACUAGGGAUCGAACCUCAGGUCAUGCUAGGUGAACGCUUUACCAUUAGACCUGCAUUUGCAUCCCACAUCCUGAGUUCGUUUUAUGCGAACACAGCUGGAUUUGUUAGCUGUGACAGGCAAAUUCCCCUAAUUUGGAGAAGAAAGAGAAGUUUAAGUUUACUUACAAAUUUAAUUUGUAUGUACUGAUCAACCAAGCUGAUUAAAAAAGGGUAUUUCUGAAGCAGAAAAGGGUAUUUUUGGAGAACUUUUCCAAAGGAAAGCCUUGAGAGUGGUGGAAAAAAAAAAAAAAAAA
rnacentral:lncRNA from 1 species